CACUGGUUGCGCUUUUUAGCACCAUCCUUGCUUGGUCUAAUUAACAAAGUUUACUCUUGAAAUUACUCUAUUUUAUCACUCCAAGCUGAGCUGCUGAUUGGCAUAAAUUCAUUCAAUUUCUGCUUAAUAUUAAGAAGCUGCAAGUGCAUGAGUUACAUGGAUAGCUUAUGCUGUAUCUUUGUGGCUUGUAUUGUUUUUGAGAAAUGUGUAUUGUUUUUGAGAAAUGUGUAUGAAAGGCUCUUACGUUUUCUCACUUGUAUGAACUACAUAGGUUGCAAUUCACUAUUAUGGGAGAUUGGCAGCGAAGCAAGGAUGGCGCUUUGAUUCCACCUAUGAUCAUAAGGAUGAGACCGGUGAACCCAUUCCGUUUGUCUUCACCAUUGGGUCUGGAAAAGUAAGAUAUGGAUUUCAUUUAACUCGGUGAAGAAGAACUGAGUUGUAUGUAUAGUACUGAUACUGCUUCAGUUUUAGAUAAAGAUCUUACCUGAAAUUUGUACUCUUCCAUUCUGAAGCCCCUUUGGUGAAAGUUUGAUAUUACAGCUUAGCAUUGAUAUUCCUAUGUUCUUGAAACAUGCCUAAGGAUCCCACCUAAUCUUCGAUAUGUGAAGUUACACUUGUUCUAUUGUGGAGCACAAUUAUCACAAGCUAUUUUAUUUUAGCGUCACAGUUGCUACGCGUCCACCCAUACGAGUAUGAACUAUCUGUCGUUCUGCAUUUUGAAUUCCCUGAUAAUUGUUUGUACCCAUGGUUUUGGCAUCUGGCAAAAAAUAAAUUACAUGGGAUGUUCGUUUGUGAGUCUGGGUUUGAUACUCUAGCCAUAAUAUAAUAGUGCAUGGAUCUUGCAGGUUAUACCUGGUAUUGAAGCAGCAGUGAAGUCCAUGAAGGUUGGUGGUCUUCGUCGUGUU
rnacentral:lncRNA from 1 species